UCUCUCUGUUGUCAUGUGUUGGAUCAGUGUGUGUUGUGGUUCUACUGGUGUUACUGGUUCUGCUGGUGAGACAAUGUGUUCACAGGAAACCCGAAGAUCAAGAAGAAGAUGACAUCAUCACUCACGUCACGUACAACACUGUCAAGAUAUCAAAUAAUUCGCAACAGUCAAUCAGGCGAAGCAAAGAGACAGAUUUAGCUGACUCAGCAGUGAGACCUGAAGACAUCAGUUAUGGACAAACAAUCAUCAGAACAAGAAGGCCCAGACUUUAAACCAGAUCCUGACAUCAUCUGCUCUUCAGUCCACCAGUCCAACCAGUGACAUCCAGUUGCUGUUCUCCACUUGAUGCCCCCAACACUUCAGACCAGAGUACAACAUGACCAGAUUUUAAUAUUUCUUUCUUACUAAAUAAGAAAAAAUAUUUUCCUUCUUUAUCUUAAAAUUUAAAAGUGCAUUUCCUUGUAAAAUCAAAUGUAGAAUAAAUAUGUAUGUUUUUAAUGUCUGCAGUGAC